rnacentral:lncRNA from 1 species
AGAAAAGAGAGCAAAUAAGCAUUGGCAAGCCUCUUGUUCUCCUCAUCCCUCGUCCCACAAUAGACCUUGCCCAGGCAGACUUUACUCCACACCCUGGGCGAAGCCUAGCUUUGGCAGCUAACCUUCACGGUAGGCCAGUGGGCCAGUUUCCAAUUCAAAGAGGACCCACCCAGGCCCAGAGUCUCCUAGUGCGGAAACUGAGAAGGGAAAAGCUGACCCUCUCUACGAAGAACGAUUAUGCUCCUGAUUUCCCUGCAGAUGUGUUGGCCGCUGCUACAUGAGCAACAAAUGCAGAGAACUUCAAAUGCCCAGUGCUUGAAAGUGCAACAGACCCAGCCAUGGGUAAUCCACC